rnacentral:rRNA from 1 species
GAUGAACGCUGACAGCAUGCUUAACACAUGCAAGUCGACUGUGGCGGACGGGUGAGUAACGCGUACAGAACUUGCCUCCCAGCUAGGGACAACAUUUGGAAACGAAUGCUAAUACCUGAUACUGUGAGAGAGCUUUGCGUCACAUUCGCUAGUGGGAGAGGUAACGGCUCACCAAGGCGAUGAUGGGUAGCCGGCCUGAGAGGGUGAACGGCCACAAGGUGAAUGAGAGACGGCACUUGCGACUAUGGGGGGCAGCAGUGGGGAAUAUUCGACAAUGGACCAAGGUCUGAUCCAGCAAUUCUGUGUUCACGAUGAAGUUUUCGGAAUGUAAAGUGUUUUCAGUGGAGAAGCGGUACCAACAGAAGAAGUGACGGCUAAAUACGUGCCAGCAGCCGCGGUAAUAC